rnacentral:tRNA from 1 species
GCGCCCGUGGCUCAGCUGGACAGAGCAUCUGACUACGAAUCAGAGGGUCGGGGGUUCGAAUCCCUCCGGGCGCACCA